rnacentral:rRNA from 1 species
UGGGGAAUUUUGGACAAUGGGGGCAACCCUGAUCCAGCAAUGCCGCGUGAGUGAAGAAGGCCUUCGGGUUGUAAAGCUCUUUUGUCAGGGAAGAAACGGUAGUAGCGAAUAACUAUUACUAAUGACGGUACCUGAAGAAUAAGCACCGGCUAACUACGUGCCAGCAGCCGCGGUAAUACGUAGGGUGCAAGCGUUAAUCGGAAUUACUGGGCGUAAAGCGUGCGCAGGCGGUUGUGUAAGUCAGAUGUGAAAUCCCCGGGCUCAACCUGGGAAUUGCAUUUGAGACUGCACGGCUAGAGUGUGUCAGAGGGGGGUAGAAUUCCACGUGUAGCAGUGAAAUGCGUAGAUAUGUGGAGGAAUACCGAUGGCGAAGGCAGCCCCCUGGGAUAACACUGACGCUCAUGCACGAAGGCGUGGGGAGCAAACAGGAUUAGAUACCCACGUAGUCCCUGAGCGGGCUGGCAAGGCGCAU